rnacentral:rRNA from 1 species
AUGAUCCCCAUCAACUUCACCCUGCCGGUGCGCACAGUGAAGAUCUUGGCUCUAGAAUCCAUCGGUCCUAAUUUGGAUGCAGUUGUUGGAUUACUUAGAUGCUUUCCAUGCACCGAGAAGAUAUACAUCCAGUCAUUGGUUAGGAAGGAUAUGAAAAAUGUGUGGCAGCAUGAUAUACUCGAUCCAAUUGAAUGCCUUGUUCACCAUCUUGGAAAAAUUGUAUUGGAGGGCUAUGUAGGCAUGAGACCCGACGUUAACUUCGCCAAGUUCUUUGUUCUAAAUGCAAGGGUGCUCAAGGUGAUGAUAUUCGGCCUCUCUGAUGACCGCAAUGAGGAAUGGAUGGCUAAUCAACACAGGCGGCUGCAGCUAGAUAACAGAGCCUCUAGAAAUGCUCGAUUUGAUUUUAAAAGAGUUAAUGGUAACCGUAACAUGCACAUCCAUGAUAUGAGGAUGCCUGAUCCCUUUGAUAGCUAA